GACGAACGCUGGCGGCGUGCUUAACACAUGCAAGUCGAACGGAAAGGCCCUGCUUUUGUGGGGUGUUCGAGUGGCGAACGGGUGAGUAACACGUGAGUAACCUGCCCUUGACUUUGGGAUAACUUCAGGAAACUGGGGCGAAUACCGGAUAGGAGCUCCUGCUGCAUGGUGGGGGUUGGAAAGUUUCGGCGGUUGGGGAUGGACUCGCGGCUUAUCAGCUUGUUGGUGGGGUAGUGGCUUACCAAGGCUUUGACGGGUAGCCGGCCUGAGAGGGUGACCGGCCACAUUGGGACUGAGAUACGGCACAGACUGCUACGGGAGGCAGCAGUGGGGAAUAUUGCACAAUGGGCGGAAGCCUGAUGCAGCAACGCCGCGUGCGGGAUGACGGCCUUAGGGUUGUAAACCGCUUUCGCCUGUGACGAAGCGUGAGUGACGGUAAUGGGUACAGAAGCACCGGCUAACUACGUG
rnacentral:rRNA from 1 species